rnacentral:rRNA from 1 species
CCUACGGGAGGCUGCAGUGGGGAAUAUUGGGCAAUGGGCGCAAGCCUGACCCAGCAACGCCGCGUGAAGGAAGAAGGCUUUCGGGUUGUAAACUUCUUUUAAGAGGGAAGAGCAUGACACUAUACCUCUUGAAUAAGCCACGUCUAACUGCGCGCCAGCAGCCGCGGUAAUACGUAGGUGGCAAGCGUUGUCCGGAUUUACGGGGUGUAAAGGGCGUGUAGCCGGGCUGACAAGUCAGAUGUGAAAUCCCGUGGCUCAACCACGGAACUGCAUUUGAAACUGUCGGUCUUGAGUAUCGGAGAGGCAGGCGGAAUUCCUGGUGUAGCGGUGAAAUGCGUAGAUAUUAGGAGGAACACCAGUGGCGAAGGCGGCCUGCUGGACGAAAACUGACGGUGAGGCGCGAAAGCGUGGGGAGCAAACAGGAUUAGAUACCCGGGUAGUC